UAGGUUAGAAGUUGAAAUAGUCGUUAUUAUUUAAUGAUGCGGUCCCAACGCGCCAAGCCCUUAAGGGAAGGUGACAAGAGAUGUGGGGAGGGCUGUCCCACCUAACCUA
ncrna:unclassified sequences skipping-rope RNA